AAGGUGAUGGUGUUUUGGCUAAAAUGGAGGCUGUUAUUAGAGAGAACCUGUACAUUCCAAGUUGGGAUCCUGUGACUUUCAGAAUAUGGAUGUAUUUUCGAAAUUUUAGAGAGCUUGCAUGGGCAAUCAGGCAGCAUGCUGUUAAAAAUAAAUUUAAGGUGUAUAGGCAUAAGUUUGAAAGGGCUCGAAUUACCGUUGGUUGUGCAUACUACAAAUGUCCAUGGUUUCUACAUGCUGGCAGGACCAGAUUUGGUGGUGUUUACCUAUUGAAGAGACUGCAUAAUGUGCACACAUGUUCACGAGAGCUGGACAAUCCUGAAUGUACUGCUGAGUUUAUAACUGUGAAGUAUGAACAAACCUUUCUAGAUCACCCAGACACAAAGGUUGAUUUCAUUAUCGAUGAGCUGUGAAGAAUAUAUAGUUGUAAGGUUAAUAGGUUCAAGGUGUAUAGGGCAAAGAAAAUGGCAUUGCAAAGAGCAGGUGCAGAUCAUGAAUCAAGCUACAGGCUGAUCAGAAGUUAUGCUCAGAUAAUACUAAAUAAGAUGCCACAAGCUCUGGCCUUAGUUAGUGUUAUUCGGUUCCCAGGGGAGCAGUCUCAAACUCAUUUUGAUAGAUUUAUCCUCUCAUUUCCAGCACUUAGAGAUGGUUUCAAAGCUGGUUGUAGACCAUUCAUUGGGAUUGAUGGCUGCCACUUGAAGGGUCCAUAUAAGGGUGUAAUGUUGUCAGCUGUAGCACUUGAUGCUAACACUGGAAUAUUUCCAGUUGUUGUAUGUGUUUGUAGUGUUGAAAGCACAAGUACUUGGACAUGGUUUCUAGGUCAUUUAAAAACAUUUCUUGAAGAUGCAAGGCAGUUAACCUUCAUGUGUGACAGGCAGAAAGGAAUCCAUAAUGCUUUGGCCCUUGAGUUCCCAAAUGCUCAUGUGAGGUUUUGUGCGAGACACAUUCUUGCAAACUUGAAGACAAAGCAUCCGCAUACAAACUUCAAGGCUUAUUUCUGGGCAGCUGCAAGGGCAUGUAACAGCAGGGAUUUUGAUGUAGCAAUGACUAAUUUGAAGAAUAUAGAUGAGGGUGUUUACGAGACACUAAGAAGGUUACCACCAAAAUUAUGGGCUAAACAUGCUUUUGACAACAGUUGUAAGAGUGACCACUGCACAAAUAAUAUGACAGAAUCUUUUAAUGCAUGGCUUGGUGUUCAAAGAAAAGUCCCACUGUUGAAUAUGCUUGAAUGGAUGAGGAAGAAGCUAAUGAAGAGGCUGGUGAACAGAAGGAAAAAAGCUGAGGCUUGGGAGUCUGAGAUUCCAAAGAGGAUUUAUGAUAGGAUGAUGAAUAAUCUGCAGAUUGGAAGUCCAAACCCUGUAGCUCGAGCUAGUGAAUGACUAUAUGAAGUAGACCACAACCACAUGACUUAUAUAGUUGAUCUACAGCACCAUGUAUGUGACUGUGGUCACUGGCAACUAUGUGGCAUCCCAUGCAUCCAUGCAAUGCCAUGUAUCUUUCAUAGUAGAAAAGAGUUAGGACAAUUCCUUAGCCCAUUAUUGAAGCAGGUGAGCUAUUUGAGGACUUAUGCUGGAAUGAUUCACCCCAUUCCAGAUAAAUCUUCAUGGCCAAUUACACCAGGUGAUGAGAUUUAUCCUCCAUUAGUGAAAAGGCCUCCUGGGAGGCCAAAAAUGAAUAGGAGACGGGAAGCUGGUGAGGUUCCUCCAGAGAAGAAGCGAUAUAGGAUGCAAUGUAAGUGCUGUAAACAAUUUGGCCAUAACAAGAGAGGUUGUCCCAUUAACCCCUUAAAUGCAAACAAACGUACAAAACAUUAUAAGGUCAGUGCAGUUUCUGUGAUUUUUACAGUUAUCUUUGUGUAACGUUGAACCUUACUUUGUACAUUUGUGCCUGCCCACAGACCAAUCUAAAACAGUACAUGACAAAUACAGGAUCAGCAGCUCGAGGUAUGAUUUUGUAACUACUCAUGUUUAUAGCUGUUAAUAUGCAAUUGUUAACUCAUUAGUCAAUAAUUCAAAUGACCAAAAAAAAAUAUAUCAAGUUUACAAGAUAGGCUAGUGGGUCCACUGUCAAGUGCACUAGGCAGGGGGUCCACCACUGUUAUUCACAUGCAGCCAUAUGAGCAUGUGAGGCCAACAUUUGAGGUUCACGAGCCUAGAGAGAUGCAGCUGCCACCACAAAAGACAAAUGCAUUUAGGAAUCAAGAAGGGCCAUCAGGUACCAAGAAAAUGAAUCAUCAACAGAUGGCAAAUAUUGAAGUUAAUGCUCCGUGGUUGGGUGUACAAGGCAGGAAGAUAAUGGCAGUUGGUGGAAUUAGUUUGAGGAAAAACCAGACUACUAAAAAAAAGAGUGAACUGAACAAUAUUGGCAAAGGGAAGGCACCAGCCUUCCCACCUGAGAUGGUUAGGCAUUGUUUUAUCAUUUUAAGAUUUUGUGAUUAAUAUCAUCAUUAGGUAAUGAAAGCAUCAUGUUACUUACUCUGUAUUCUAUUACUUAUCAUAAUGCAGUGAUUGGUGAAUGCAUUGGAGACAUUGGCAGCAGUAACAAUACCAAGUAGUGGAGGUAUAUAAGCAUUUUUUAACACCUUCCACAAUGCCACAAUGAACCAGCUGAAGCUUUUGUUUUUUAUUGGGAAGAAAAAUGCAAUGGUUAGUUUAUAGCUGAAAUUCUGGAGUUGGUCCUUUUUGGAUGUGUAAUGUUAGUCUGCACAUGGAGCUUAAAUAUAAACUAAUGCUUAGGUUAUGUUGCCAGGGGUUUGUGGCAUUAUGAAAGUUGUUGGCAAAGUAUAUAUGUAGGACUUACAUAUAGGUAGACCAACAUUGUUUUUUGUUUUUUGUUGGAUACAUUGUUGUGUAACCAUACAGGUGAUUAAUACACCAUUUCAGAUGCUGCCAAUAUAUAUUACUCCAUGAUAUAUUUUAUAUUAUUAACUACAAUGAAUAUGAGCAACUGUUACACUUAAUUUCUCUGCAUUUUCUAAAGCUAAGCAACCAUUCUGAAAACAUUUUUCAUAACUUACAGUAAAUGAUAGUUGUGAGAAAUAAUAAAAUAACCAUUGUGAUGAAUUGAUACUUUUUCAGUUGAUAAAGAAGGAUUUCAAUUGUCACAGUCCUCUGAUCAAGGUCAGCCAUUGUCAAUUUCAUAAUAUUGUUGUCACUGGUGUCAAUACCUUGCUCUUCAAACGGGUUCAUUUGUCUUGUAAAUUCUGCAAUCUCCUCUCUAGAUGGCGUCCACCAUCUAAAGAAACCACAUGCAGGAUCAUUAGGACAACUAUAGUAUAAUCUGUUGGGAUUUGACUUAGAUUCCGAUAUUUUAAUGGCUGCUCUGACUCUACAAUAGCAAACUUUGUUGUGGAACUUGAAAAUUCCUCCAUUGAUUAAAUUCUUUUCUGAGUCGGGUUUUGAUUUUGAUGAACUUGAAGCACCCCCAGAGCAGCUAGACAUUCUUCUACCAAUGUAUAUGUUGACUAGGUUGUAAAUUCAGUAGCUGGUGGUGCUUCAAGUGAUACUUCUAGUAAUGCUUCUGGUUAUGCUUCUAGUUGGGCUUAAUAAUGACAACUUGAAGCUAAACAAUGACUGCUGUUUGUAGUAAUUUAAAUAUGGUGGGGUUUGAUAGGCAUGCUGAAGAUGAAGAAUUGUCAUGUGCAAUAUUUAUAGCUAGUGGAAGUGGCAUGCCGUUAUGUUACCGUUGCAAAGGAACUGUAAAUCAAAGACUUGUUCUGCCUAUAUAGCCGUUACAAUGCACAGCUGCAAAUGCUUUACUAUAAUUAGAUUGUUAUUUAAGGACAAUAAUGCCAUCCUAAUAAAUAUGGGCAAUUUCAUCAUUUUCCAAAAUCACAAACGGUACAGUAACAGAUAACAGUUAUUUUAACAGCAAUGGGUGCGCGGCGCACAUGAUCAAAACUUGUGGGUGCGCGGCGCAAAUGGUCGAAACUUGUGGGGGCUGACGCUAAAUAACCCAAAACAAUAUUGAGCGGGCCCUAAUUAAGUUUAGAAACGGCAAAUACUUAAAUAAGUAAAAGAGUCGAUCAAUGCUCGUUUGCCCACUAAUGGGGUUUGAUCAUAUUGUAGCUUUUAAGAUAAUUAUUACUAAUUUUACUACAAAAUUAAUCAAUUCUCAUGAAAAUUAAUUAAAUAUUUAAUAAAAUUAAUUUUUAAAAAUAUUGUAAAUUUUAAAAAUAAUCGUACGUAUUCAAUAAAUUUUAUUAUUAAAUUGUUAUUAGAAUAUAAAUAACUAAAUUGAAUAUGAAAUUAAAAAAAAUUUAUUUACACUUAUAUAUUUUUUUCAUUGUAUGUAUAUAGUAAUUGAUAACUAAAAUAAACAUUUUAUAUUUUUAUUUUGUUAUCUCAAUAUAACUAAUAAUAAUAAUUAUCUCUUAAAAAUUAAUAAUUUUAUUUCUUAAUUAAUAAGAAUAAUUUAAAAUUUUUAUAAUAUAUAUGAAGAUAUAUAUAAAAUUAGAUUAAAUAUAAAACUAAUUCUUGUUUUGAAAAAGUGGUCAUUUCCUAUUUUUUAAAAUCCUAUACUGAAGAUUCAAGUAAUUUUACGAAAAUUAUUUCUAAAAAGAUUUAUUAAAUAUCAAAAUUAACUUUUCAUUUUUCACAAUUAUUUUUUAUCCCCCUAAAAACAAUGCCAAACAGUGUACAAGUCAUUUUUCGUUAUGAGAUAAAAGAGUACAUACAUGUCAACUAUCACUGGUAACCGUAUUCAUGGGCACAGAUUCAUUACAUCAUGCGCCAAGUACUUGCCAAAACAACUGAAGGGUCAUUCAAAACAUAAUACACAUUAAAAAAAUAUAACAAUUUACAAAAGAAAACUCAGUAAUUAAAAAGAAUCACAAAUUCACAAUGCAGAACACAAAUACACGAUUACACAUACUGUCCCUUGAAUAUUCUUUUCUCCACCUCUUCUAUGAACAUAAAACCGGUAGGAGAUCAGGUUGUCAACAUAUCAGGAAGACUCAUGGAAUGAACACCAAUGAUUUUACCACCGGCAUCAGGGAAUUGCUCAUAACCUGGUAAGGGGCUCACUGUCCCAUCAGCAUCUACUUGCAGAGGAUAUCUGAGGAGGUGGCCCUGCAAUGGUGUGAACUCCGUGGCUGUGAAUCUACCCCAGUUUUCUCCAGCAAUCUGAUUUACCUUCCUUAUACAGUCUAAACUUUCUGGUUCCUCAAAGCAAUUAUCUAGCAUGCCAAGAUGCUCUGACCAAAGUGACUUCCUAUACCCAUAUAUCUGCAGAAUUAUAGUUACAGACCAUAAAAGAUGUUUCAAGACCGACAUUCAUAGGGCACUUACAAUAUUAUACUUGCUAGGCAUAUAGAUGGGGAAAAAAUGUUUAAUUAUCAGACAUUUCAUUUCAAAAUGUAACUUCCUAAAUCACAUAUAGCAAGGUUCAAGAAACUUGAUGGAAGCAAACCUGGAUUGUUAUUUCUGAAUAGGAUUCUUUUCUAAUCUAAGCUUCUACAUGAGCAGCUUGUGAUUGAUAAUUAAUAGAAAAGAAUAUUAUUAUAAAACAGGUCUUGACCAUGCAUAUACAAUAAUGAACCCAUGUAAGUCAACUUCCUUUAUUACAGAAGAAAGAAAACAAAGAAAACAAGAUCAUCUACAAACCUGACCAUGUGGAUGUUUCUGCUUCCUAGCCCAUGUGUGAUGCGGCUGAUAAGAACCCAUAGCUAUCUCAGUGUCUUUGGAACCAGCCAUGGAUCUUUGGUUAAUGUUGGCAGAUCCCAUGAUCACAUAUUCAUCAUCUACUAUCAUCCCCUUGGCAUGCACAUAUAUCAUGAAGCGCUGAUUUUUCUGUGAAUCAGAGACCUGAAAGUAAACUGGAAUUAGUCAAAACUUAUAACAACUUUUGUUUUUUCAUAAACUUUCUUGAGAGAACUCAUAUUUGAUAUUAAAAGUUGUAAAUCUCUACUCCCAAGAGAAACUACAGUUUCUUUUUUCUUUUUUUCCCCAAAAGUACUACAUUGAUCUACAGGUAUUUACAAUAACAAACCUACCGACACAUCCUAGAUUAGAAACCUCCAAGUACAUGUAGCACUACACACAGUUAUAAGCAAGGGCCCAGAAAACUAUUGGCAAAGAUGUGAAUAUGACAACAUUUUUGUGAGCCUUCAAUCCUCAUGAAGAAAUUGGAGAAACUUAUUCCAAGCAUCUGAUGAAAAUUGCCACAAUUAAUCCAGAAUCUUCUUUCUUGCUUUAAUACUAAACCAAGGAAAAUGCAUAUAAGCCAAUGCUUAAUAUAGACAGGAAAUUUCGUGGUUAACUUGUUGGUCGUUAUCCCUCGACGACAGAAAUUAAGUAAUUAGAUUAGACUUCUUUCGGUUGUAUAUUUGACAUCCUUUGGGCUUUGUUAACAUGCUAACAACAGAAAUAGUGGGUCUACAUAAAAAACUAAUAGAGAUGUCAGAGGAGAAAGAUCACGGAUCAGAGUAACACAAGUUCUGAUUUGAUUUAGACAAAAUUUUACAUAAAAUAAUUGGCAAACUAAUUUCAUUAUUAAUCAACUAAGCUACCAUGAAAUUUAGUCAUAAUUAUAGCCAACUAUUAUGUUUAAAUCCUAGCAAGAACAGUUGAUCGUUAACAUGCUUACGAAAAGAACAAAAGGAAUUUUCCUCUUAGGUAAACACCUUAUCACCAUUAUUGGCCAAUACAUCCUUAGGAGCUUCUUCCCGUUUUCCGAGACAAUAAAAACUGAGGUAAUCUUGAGGAUGUGCGUCCACUUGCAUUUCCCUCAGUUCCUGUGCAACAACACUAUACAUCAUCUGCAUCGUCUGGCUCUGCAAAAUCCAAAUAUAUAAUGUCAGAGCAAACAUAUUUCCACAGUCAUAACAAAUUUACCCCAAAAGAGCUAAAAACCCCCCAUUAUCGUUCAAAAGAUGAGGCAAAUGGGGGGACACAUUGAUGAUUUUUUCUUGUUCUUUCUUUGGAAUCUUCUUAAUAGAAAAUGGGGAUAAAUUGAUGGUUUCACAUUGAAGAUUGCCAUUCUAAGUAGGGGUAAAUUGAAGUUUAACCUCAGAGUACUGACAGAAAAUAUCAGUAACAUUUUAAGACAAAACUAAUUUGAACCUAAUUCCCACGCGAAAAGUUAACAAUAAACUCAAAAUUAUUACUGCAGAGGAUAAACCCGGUUAGUAGCAUUUCAAUUUAGUAUCUAGAAAUGAUAUCAUACUUCUCAUUGUGAAACAGUAUAACAACAGUGAAGUUGGAAUUAAACCAUGUACAAGUUCCCCAAGAUGUAACCACAUAAUACCAAUCAAAAGUCCAACAGAAAUAACCAUCCAUGAAAGAAGAAUCGUAUUAAAUCUGCAGUGAUUAAGGAUGGAAACAAACUAUUACUCUCAACUAUAAUUACCAAGAACCAGAAAUCAUAGCACAGCAACAUUAUUAGUAGUCUAUUUAAAAUUUGUAUUCCGCCUCUUCCUUUUUUUCUUUUUAUAAGUCAUUCAGUUAGUUUAUACAUAUAAAAAUUGAUGUUCCAAAUUUAUGAAGAUUGGAAGGUAUAUAACAAAAAAAACCUGCCAAAACAGAAUUUCUUGGACGGUGUUAGUUUUGGGAUCACCCUCAGGCCACAUAGGUAUGAUGACAUACACUGCAAAUCUCUCAUUAGCUCUAAUUUUACUAGCAAUCUUUAAAGCCAACUCCAUCGGGAUAAGAUUAUCAGCUCCUGCUCAGACAAAACCAAAGUAACUUCAGAAACUCAGGGAAAUUAAUACUAUAAACAGUCACCAUUCAUUUGAUACCAAAUAUAAACUGAAACAAGGUACAAAUAUAUGAAGGCAACUAUUUUGUAGUCAACAGGUCAAGAUAAAGCAGAAGCACAUCAAUUGCCCAAAAUUGCAGUAAAAAUCAAAAGAGACUAUUUACAAUGCUUUGAAAAAUAUGUGAAGACUGCAAGUGCAUGGCACCAAUAAAGGAGCUACAACAAAAUAAAUUGUACUUGAUAUUCCCCAAUCCGGAGGGGAAGGGAGGAGAGAAACAUAACCCUAAGCUGUGCUAGCAACCACUAAUGCUUAGUCCAGCGGAAUUCUAUUAUCAGUUCCAGAACAGACAUUUUAAAGAGCUAACCUACAAUUCUGCAAUCAAAUACUUCAUAUGCAUUUGCUUCUUGCUGUAAUAAACCUUUGGUUGCAGAAAUUAGAAAAAAGAAGUAACAAACAAAAGCAAUUAACUCUGUGAUGUGAUUAAAAUUGUGACUUUAACCUGCAUUUUUAUACGAUGGCCAUGCAUAAGAUGAUCCAAGAAAAUACUGAUUUUCAAUAUAUAUAAAAUGCUGAGCAGAUCUGAUUGCUUGGAUAUAAGCUGUUUGAAUGCUCUUAUCUAUCACCACAUCUUUUGCACAGAUAAGGCUCUGCAAGAGAAGAAUGUCAUUUAGAACUGGAUAAUAAACUAAGUUGUGAAUUAGAAACACAAGUACAGAUCAAAAUCUUGAAGCACCAUUGUCUUAGGCCCAAAUGCAAGUGAUUUUCUAUCUAAGAAUUCAAAGAAGGAAAGUAGUUCACAUAUAAACCUGGUCAUCAAUGUCCUCAAUAGAUUUUGGAAAUCCUUUCACUGAUCCUGAGUCUAUGGACCGGAAAAUCUGUGACCCAAAAGAGAGAGAGAGAGACAGAGAUAGACCUUACUAAGAAUUAGUGAAAUAAAAAUACAAAACCAAAUAAUUUUUUGAUUAAUUUAUGAUUUGCACCAUAUGACCUGAACAUGCCAGUUUUCAGGAUCAUCCUCCUUUGAAACACGUACUACAUUAUCAUCCCUUGGAACUAUUGUUGUUCCAUUCGUUUUAAGAGAUAGCUCAGGACUUAGUAUCCACGAGAUGCGCCCUAUCUUAAUCAGAUAAUCAUCACGCCAAUGAGAGACCCUUUUGAACUUGAAAGUUAACUCUGUCAACUUGGUUGCUUUUCUCCAACGCUGCUCAAAGUUGAUAAGAACAUCAUAUGCAGCAGGCCCAUCUAAUCUGCAAUGCAAAUCAUGCCAUGGUUCCCUUGGAGCCUUGGUUCCAAUCUGAUACACAAUCACGGAAAGAGAAAGUGUAAAGACAAAUAAAGGAAUAACAUUCCAAAAGUCUAAUGCUAUGUGGUAAUAAAAAUGCGAAGUCCGAUAGAAAUUUAUAUUUUGGUCAGCCACUCACAGGAUAUGUAGGAUUAUGAAAAUCAUCCUUGAAGACAGUGUCGAGAUCACGAAAUAGACGGUGCUCAGGAGUAUCAUAGCGACCAUCGCAAAGGUCAAUACCUCCUAUAAAUGCUGUAAUCUUUCGAUUAUUACCAGAUGCCUGUGUGUCUACAAGAACACAUUUUUGAUGGUGGGUAAAGAUUGUUCCAACAAUCUGGGAAAACCCACCACACAAACAAAUAAGGAAGAAGAAAACUUAUCAAAAACAAGCAAUAAACAAAGUUUAGAGACUUAAAAAAAAAAAACAAUCAUUUGUAAAAUGUAACUAAAACUACGUAACUAUCAAUUGACACUAAUCAGAAAUAAUGGAGUUGUCGAAAUACAAACACAGCACAUUACCGAACUGUGAAAUAAAAUAUACCUGUUGUUUGAAGUAGCUAAGCUUGCUACUAGCAUAACGAGGUGCCAAAACACAAUUGACAGAUGAAUGCUUGAAAAAUUUCUUUGUUUCUUCAUCAUGUGUGGCCAUCACUCCUGCCUGCACCACCCAAUCCCACCUCAUAUUAUUGCUCCAAACACAUAAGUAAUUAGCGGUUUAAAAGAAAAAAUUCAAUGACUUGGCAAAUGUUUGUAUGCUUAAUUGUCAAAAAACAACAAGCAAGUGCUGGUUCAACACCCACUUUUACUGGGCGGCUAAAGCUUACUUACUAGUUAUCCACUUGUACUUGACAGCUUAGUGAUUCAAUUUCACAGCAGUCUUCUAAUCUACAAAAUCUCAAUUCCAAACAUAGCCCUAGCCAAUCAAACAAGUAACAAAGACACCACUAACACACCCAAAAAUCAAAUCAAAUCAAAUCAAAUAAAAGAAAGCAGUUGCAUAGAAUAUUAGUCCAUAUGAUGCCUAAUAUUCUUAAUUUAAUUGGAUAAUGAACAAACAAAUAAGCAUUACAAUUAAAUUAAUGCCAGUCCACAUUACUAGUAUUUUAAUAAUAAUCUUUGGUUGAUUUGUUCUUAACUUAGAAAAUGACAUAAUAAAUAAGUAGCAAACAAACUUAAUCAAAAUCCUCACCGUUUUGACGCCAAGCUUGUCAUGCGAGGUCUUAUCGUCCCAAAUCAACAACAAAACUCGAACACCUUCCUCCGAUUUAUACUUAAGCAACUCACCGAGAGUCAAGUCGCCACCACGCGGCAACGGUCUUGUCGGCUCUCUAAUAAGCUUAAUCUUAUGAAAAACAGACCAGCCAACGAUAUAGAUCAAAUGGUGAGCCUCGGAUAUGGCGUGACAAAUAUCUUCCCAACAAGUCCCCGGCUUAUAAAGCUUCCCAUCGUCCAAAGGAAUCUCAGGCAAAAUUCCCUCAGUCACGUGAGCAUCCUGGUAGAGCCUCACGUGAGAGCCUUUCCUCAAGGGAAAAUACGUGUUCCUCACUCCCUUCUGCUCGGGAUCGCCGGCAAUGCCGUGGCGGUACAGCGGAUUUUUGUCACAGGGGGUGAACUUAAGCUCGAGUUGUAUAGAUGCACCAGGCUUAGGUGGACUACCGGAAGGGGCAAUGAUGUCGUACCAUCUCGAGAUGAACUCGCCGGUCGCGAUGGUGUCAGCAGGGAUUGCGGCGGUGCCGAUUAUUUGGGCGCCGAAGACGUCGUCAUCUUUGACCUGAAUCUCGAGGUUGACAAGGGGAUGCGCUAAGGGAAUGAUGAAGUGCUCGUUCCAGACAGGCUCUUGGGAAUUUUUAAGGACACGUGUACGGGCGACGGUGGCUUGAGGGACCACGACGGUGACGUAAGGGUCACUGGUGAUGAUCUUACUCUUGCGGAUGAUUUUGCUGGUGUGCCGGACUCCGUCAUCGUCCUGAAAGGUCUCGUGCGUCGGGGCGGGAGUUUUGCAAGCGUCACAGGCUGUGAAACAACGUCGGAGGUGUUCGGACAUCAUGUCCAUGUUAGGUAACCGCCGGGCUCGAAUGAUUUUCAAGUCCAGGUCACCGUGAAGGUAGAUGACCUUUUCUUUAUCGGAAUCGUCUCCGGCCGCCAUGUACCGUAAGCGGAUCAAGGAUCGAUUAGAAGCUUCAAAUGUGCAAAAAAUAAUGACAAUAGAGAAAGAAAUCAAUAAUAGAAUGGAAUGAUUAGCAGAUAAGAUAGACAAAAACGACGUGCAGUGAGGCGUUGUAGUCUGUUGAGUGUUGGGUAAGAUGUGGCUUUAGCUUUACUUGUAGUUGAGAGUCAAGGCCUCGUGGCGCGAGACGGGGGACCUUAUUGACUGUCGUAGGGUGUAACAGCAAUAUUUUUUUUUUUUUCAAAAUUUUUGUAUAUUAAAUUAUUGACCUAAAAAUGCCAGGUUCUCGAUUUUGAUUUGGAUGACGAUGAAGAAGAGAAAAUUUUUACAACGGCGGAUAAGGACAACGUGGGCCACAAGGAUCAAGGAUGAAGUGGGUGACUCGUGACGCAGUGCUCUAUCGGUAAACAGAGGAAACCGCGAGGGACAGAAUUUGUCGAUCUGCAUCGUGAAAAAGGUUAAAGUAAAAAAUGUAAACUCCUCUUUUUUUUUUUAAUUUUUUUAAUUAAUUGGGAGUAAAAAGUCUAAAUAAACCAGCGGUUUGCAAAAGCAAAACUCGCCCUCCUUGUCCUUUUUUUUUUCUCCGCAUAGGUAAAUUGCCGUGUUCGAGUUUGACCGUCACUUCCAUGUUCCAGUGUCCCCGGCAGUGCGUGCAAGGCUUCACAUCUUUCCCUCGAUGACUACUAGGAAAUGAGAUCAACGGUUUAAAAUGAGUUGUUGUUGUUCUUUUUUUUUUUUUCUUUUUGAAUCUGAGCCAUUGACGCUCCUUUCUUUCUUUUCUUUUUUCUUUAUUGAAUUACGAUUGUAUUUUACAAUCAUAAAUUUAUUGGAUGAAAAAAAAAAAGUUAACAAAUUCAUUCUGCCAUAGGAAGUGAGUGAAUUUUACCAUCAUACUACAAAAUCUAAUACAUAUGUUACUAUUUUAUAUAAACAUGUUUACGCAUUAUCUUACCUUUUUAAUUACACCAGCAUUUAUGUGAUUACUUGGUUAAAGUAAUUUUAAAUAAACUUAUUUUACGUAUGUUAUAGUAAUAUUGGAAUUCUAGAUAUCAGAUAGACCUUUUUUUCAUAUAAAAUUAUUGGUUCAGUUAAUAAAAUCUUUUGAUGUGGUUAUAUUCGAAAUUUCAAAUGGUAAUGAUACAAUUGUUAAAAAAAUAAAAAAAGUAUCAAGACAUAGGGAAUAUGUGAAUUUUUCUUUGAAUUAUACUAAAAGAAAAAAAUUGAUCAGCCUCGGCGAGAAAAAGUGUAAUUGGCAGUUAAAAGAAAUAUUCUUUCGAGAAAACAAAUAUUUUUUUUUCCCUCAAAAAGAUCCCAACUCCCGAGGUUUUGUUGGUAGGCCCAUCACACAUUCCAUGUCCGACUCUCAAAAGUUAAAAACUCAAUUCGCAGGUGUUUGGUAUCUUAGCCACGACCAAUCAGUAACUAAACUUUAUGCGAAACUUCACUAUUUGUCCAAAUAAAAAAGAAAAGCGAAAGCCCACUUGCAAACCGAAACCUUUUUUUAGCCUUUUGGGCGAAGUUUGAAAACUUGGAAGACGGGUGAUGCUCUGGAUUCUUCUACCGGGCUAAAAUGAAAACUCUUCAACAAAUAUUGCAUCUCAUAAGCUUGAUAGAAGUGAAUGUUAGUCAAUCUGUGACUAGCCUAACCGGCAGUUUAUUUAUCCCGAGAUUCAAAAAUCUAUCUAAUUCAUUUUAAUUGACAAUUUGGUCGGAUCUUCAUGUUUUGAAUAUAGAAUAAUCAACUUGUCAUUUGGGGUUAAUUCAUGCUCUAACCCCGGUAAAAAUAUGGGGUUUAAAUCAUCACAUAUGGACUCUAUUAUUCCUCUUUUAAUAAUAAAAAAAAAAUUAGAUAGAGAUAAGUAUUUUUUUUUCAAUAAAGUAAAUGUGUUUGAGAAUAAAAAUUUAAUUGUACCUAAAAUAGUUCUUGAUCUGUCCUUGUAGAAUCUCUUUUACAUAUGGUUAAAUUAAUAAUCAAAUUAGUAUUAAGAAAAUUGUAAAUCAACAUACAUCAAUUGGUUAAAUUAAUAAAGUCUCUUUGUGAACUUGGUGAUUUUAAUCAAACUGGUCGCUUAAUAUUUCGCAAAGGGAAUUGAAAGCAGCACGUGUCAUGUUUAUUCAUCCAUUACUUAAAGUCCAUGCACAUGGAGACAACAUUUUAACCAAUCGAUAUACCAUUGAACUCCGAUAAAAGCAAAAGAAUCGAUUGAUUUCCUACAUAUAGAUACUCGCACAGUACUCAUGAACAUCACUAAAUUUUAGUCCCAAAUUGUUGGAAUAUCAACCAAUUAACAAGUUAAAAGACAAUAUCACCACAUACAUGUAAGAGGCCAAAACAACCGCACGAGACAGUGGGAAAAUCGUUACAUUUGAAGAGGAAUAGGAGGAUCCUUGUUUCUUCUCUUUUACAAAUUAACUUCUUUCCUUGGCUUUAUAGCAUUAUUGGCACCCUUCACCUUUCCUUGUUCUUCACAAUUUUCUUCGAAUACUCUGCAGCCGAAAAGCUCCAACGAGCUGCCGCUGCCACGACCACUUGCAUGCUUAUUAAUCUCACUCAAAGAAGGCACUCUUUGAACCACUACCCCAGGUCCACUCCGAUGGUCACGAUCAGCAACAUCAACUUUAACACCGCCACCAUUUUUAUUAGCUCCCUUGGCGCUAGCGGCCUUGAAAAUUUUCAUCAUAAUGGAAACUUUCUUCUCUUCCUCCUCUUUUACUAUUGCAUGUUGUGGUUGCUUAAGCCUAUUGGGUUUGCACUUAUUCUUCUUCUUGAUGAUUUGUCCCAUGCAUGAGACUUUUGGUGAGGCUGGUUCCUUUUGUUCGAAGCUUGAAUUCUUUGGUUUUCUUCUAGCCUCCUUUGGAAUAAUGGGUAUCUUUCUAGUUCCAGCUCCAGCUUUGACUGGACUCAGUGGUGGGCUUAUUCGGAACGUCAAUGGGGUCGCUGCUUUUGGCAGCAAGGCCAUAAUCUUGCCUUUUAUUUUCCAUUUCCUCUCCAGCAUAAUUCAAUAUCUAUUUUGUUGCUGCUGGCUGCUGCUGCUUAACUACUUCUAAUCAAAAUCGAACAGGUACUUUUUUGCUUGGAAGCUUUUAGAUUAAGAUUGAAAGAGUUUACUUGACAGGGUCAAUAUGUUGGACACAGUCUGUGGAAAAAGGUUUCUGACUUAUGGAUUAAUGCUUGAUUCCUUAAUGUAACUUUUGAAUAAUUUCCUUGAUUCCUCAAUGAAACCUUGUAGCCGGCAGAAUUAAUAUUGUUAUUAUUCUGAGGACGGCAUUCUGAAUAUAUUUAUGCCGCUCAAGCUAUAGUAAAAACUAACACCUUCAAAAUUCACAUCCCAAUAAAUUUAUCAUUGUGGACCUCUUACAUGUUACUAUAUGAAAGAAAAUUAAUAGGAUAAAUAAGUAACCUCUUAAAUUACGAUAAUUUCAAUUAUGUCAUCAUACAUAUGUCACAUUAUUUUAUAUACAAAUUUUGUUUCCCAAUUUGUAUAAUUAUUAAUAUUAUCUCCUAAAACAACUCGUCAAUUAUAUGAAUUAUUGAAAAGUAACACUUUACCAUAUUAACUUUUUAAAAGUAACAAUUUAUUACAUUUUUUUCAAUUUACAAUAAUUGAUCAUGGGAUGGAUCAAUUACAGGGGUAAUAUUGUCAUUGUAAAUUUAAGUAGAAAUGUUGUUUCGUACCAAGAGUAAGACAAAAUUAUAAAUUCACACGGCAUUGAUUUAUAUAAUUUUAUUUUUAUUUUUGGAGUUAUUAACUAGGGAUAAAAUUGAUAUUUUACAAGUCGAUUGGCAUAAGUGACGGAAACGUAGUAAAUUGUUAUUUUUAAAAAGUUAAUGAAGUAAAGUGUUAUCUUUCAAUAAUUUGUGUAGUGAUUUGUUAUUUUGUAAUACUUAGCAUAAUGAAAAGAUAUUAUAUAUAUUGUGAGGGUAAUGAAGUGCUGGGACGAUAUUACACCACAUUGUAUAUUAGUAUAAUACUUAUUAAACUAAUACACUAUAUGGUCUAAUAGCGUUCGCAUACUGACUCUAUUAAACUCCGUAUGAAAGAAAAAUGAGGGCUGUCACAUGAGAGAUUACAUAUAUAUAUAUAAAUAAAUGAGAGCGCACAUGCAUGAAAAUUUUUAUUUAUACUAAAUGACAGAGAUAAAUAAUGACUUGAACACUGACUCUAUUAAACUAUAUGAGUUAAUAACGUGUUGGCAUGAAAAAAGAAAAAGGCACCUAAGAAGGACUAUUUAUAGCAUCCUUUAAUGUGUGUUGAGUGUGUGCGUGUAUAAAUAUGGCAUCCUUGUAUAUGUAUGUAUAUAUACAAGUGAUGUUAGAUAAAAAUAUUUAGAAAAGUUAUCUCAAAUUAAACUUCGUAAGUAUCCUUCUGAUAUUUCGAAACUGGAAAGAGCAACCUUGCAUUUUACCGGUAGGAUCUAGGAACUUUGAAAGUCAAAAGUCCCAAAAUUAGUAUUAUGGACUAUACUUAAUUUGUAAAUCGUUGUCUCACUCUAAUUUCUUUCAAGAUCUUUUCUUCAAAAUUAAGUCUAAUAUGGACUGUACUUAAAAGGUAGCUUGUUAUUAACUCCGUGAUUGAAUUGUGUCAUGCAAAGUCUAAAUAUUGUUGCUUGGAAUUAGGCCUUUAACCACUAUAAGCUCAUUAAUUAAGCUUGUAGGUUAACCUGGUAAUUAGAAACUCAACAAAGCUGGACACUUAAAGUAACAGUAGCAAUUCAACAAGAUGGGGAUCGAACCUCGCUCCCGCGCAGUUGGUGACGAUCGAUGGCCAUUUUGGUAGUGGAAUAUCAGACCAAUGAAGUUGGAAGUUCGUAAUGAUACAACAUUGCAAUUAGAAAAGAGUUGUAGGUACACAGCCAAUUUGCAAAAGGUUUUACUUUUACAUAUAAUUGAGGAGAAACAGGAAGAGCAUCGUUUCUUUUCCUUCAUAAGUUAACUUCUUUCCUUGGUUGUGCAGAACAAGGCAUGAUCACCUCGUUUACUUCCUCUUGAUGAUCUAGCUGCUCAUAUCCUCCAAUUCAAUUUCGCCAACCCACCACCAUCACAGGCUACUCCCAUAUUUCGUCAUCCGACGCAAAGGAGGCCUGUGAUCAACAGUAACAUCAUCACAUUGUUUUCCUCCCUUGAAAAUUUUCCUUGUAGAAACUCGUUCAUUCUUCUUCACAUCUUUAGCAGAUAACACUGGUGUUGUGUCCCGAGCUGGAGCUGGGUGCAAUACUUCCUUUGGUCUGAUCAUGUUCUUCUUCUUCUUGUUAUUUUUCUUGUUCUUCAUGUUCUUGACUUGCCCCAUGCAUGAAACGUUCGGUGACGCUGGUUCCUGCUGUUCGAAGCUCAAAUUCCUUGGCUGUCUUUGAGCCUCCUCUGGAAUUAUAGAUACCAUGGGACUACCAAAUCCUUUUCUACCAGCAGCUGGACUGAGUAGUGGCGACAAGGGACGCAGCUUUGGCCAAGGAUGCCAGAAUCUUGCUUUUCAUUUUAGAUGGUCUCUGAUGGUCUCUCCACACUAUUUAUCAUUCUCUAAGGCCUCAUAGUUGCGAAUGCUCAAGGUUCAAAGCUUAGGAAAUAGAUAGGCGCAAAUAAUUCUUCGGGUCAAAUAAGUGUGAGUUGUAACCGGCCAGCACUUGACAUUCGACGUAAUAUCCCAGUUCUUACACUUGCUCUACUAACUUUUCAUACUGAAGUACAAUUAAACCUCAGUUUAAAAAAAUAAUAAUAAUAAUUUUGCCAAUAAACACCUUCAAUCAGCCCCCCAAAACACCUGUAAAGCUUAAUUUUAACAGUAUUAUUACAAUAUGUCAUCGAAGAUUGCCCACAAAAACACGUUUCCUCGAUUUAAGGAAAAAAAAAAUUAUUGUGUAGCAUGAAAAUCCUCCAAAACUGUGUACACUGAAUACUAAACAUUUACAACAUAGAAGAAGACCAAUCUGCAAAUAAUUUUAUCAGCUAAAUGGAAAAAUAAAUUAUACAAACAAGUUGUAAACUCAGUAACAAUCUCUCAAUAAACUUGGAACUGUACUGACUCUGAUUUAGAGUCCGGCCUUUGGAAUGAUAGCAUUCAGCAGUUAAAAAGAUAAAAUAACAAAAUAACACCCAAUGAACUGUCACGUCCGAGUUUUCUCUCGGUACAACACCUCAGGCAUUCAAGCCUUAACGUGAGCUCUUGUCACCUUUGGUGUUCUUGUCAUCUUUCGUCGCACUGUCAUCUCUAUUUGUUUGUGGUGUAUACUGACUAGUCGACGAUGGGGAAUACCCCGGUGCACUGGGAGAGUACCCAGCACUUGGACUUCACAAAAGAAAAAAGAAUUGUAAGAACAAAUUGAUUAAAAGCAAUCUAAGUUUUAGUCAACAUUGCAGAAAAUUUUCUAGAACUUGGAUUUCAAUAUCUGCUUACCUAUACUGAGGUGAACUUGGGCUAUAGUCUGGGUUUCCACCUCCAGCAUUAUAUGGGCUGCAAAGUAAAAAGAAAAGCAUUAAGGAAGGAAAAAGAAAAGCAUUAACGCACGCUAAUCUGUCCAUAUCUACAAUAAUACUAUAUUGGGGACCAUGACCACUAAAGCCAUUGUCAAGGCUCAAACCAAAAAGGAAAAGAUGCAUGUAAGAUACAGUCAACAUCACAAAUAACAUGAAUAAACUUACCUGCUAGGGCUGUAUGUUGGGCUCGAAGGAGAAUAAGAGGGCGAUGUCGGUGAAUACGAAGAUGAUGUUGGACUGCGUAAAAAGAAAAGUUGCUUACAAGAUACAUCAACAUAAUCAUCCAGAUAUAAUAAUGUUAAAAACAACAGAGAUAAAAUCAUUAAUAAUUUAAUCCCAUCCAAGUCCAAUCCCCAGCUACAGCAAGUCUUAGGUUCAACAGAUAUUUCAGUAUAUAGAAUUCUAUCAAAAACAAGACCUAAUAAAUUGGAUACAGCUUUUAACACAAACAUUAGACUUGACCACAUAUCGCACUAUGGCUUACCUGUAAUUUGGAGAUGUAGGGCUGUACGGACUGGCAGGAGAUAAUCUUGGACUACUUGGUGAGUAGGCCAGCGACGGACUGUAUUUGGCAGACUGAGGAUUGUAGCUUGGGGAUGUAGGACUAUAGGUUGGUGAAGUUGGGCUAUAACUUGGUGAAGUUGGACUAUAACCAGGAGAAGUGGGGCUAUAGGCUGGUGAAGUGGGGCUGUACGAUGGAGAAGUGGGGCUGUAUGACGGUGAGGUAGGGCUGUACGAAGGUGAUGUUGGGCUGUAGGAAGGAGAGGUUGGGCUGUACGAUGGUGAAGUGGGGCUGUAUGCAGGUGAGGUGGGGCUGUAUGCAGGUGAGGUGGGGCUAUAUGCCGGUGAGGUGGGGCUAUAGCUUGGUGAAGUUGGACUGUAACUGGGAGAAGUGGGGCUGUAACUUGGAGAGGUCGGGCUGUAGCUUGGGGAUGUUGGGCUGUAACUUGGGGAGGUUGGGCUAUAGCUUGGUGAAGUAGGUGAGUACGAUGGACUGGUAGGAGAAUAGGCAGGACUGGUUG
rnacentral:lncRNA from 1 species